rnacentral:rRNA from 1 species
CCGCGGUAUCCUAACCGUGCGAAGGUAGCGUAAUCACUUGUUCUUUAAAUGAGGACUAGUAUGAAUGGCAUCACGAAGGUUAUACUGUCUCCCCUUUUUAAUCAGUGAAACUAAUCUUCCCGUGAAGAAGCGGGAAUAAAAUUAUAAGACGAGAAGACCCUAUGGAGCUUUAGACUACGCAACAAUUGCUAUUCACUUUUUACCCUAUGGGGCCCCAACUAUAUUUUCUCAUAUUGAUUGCUAGUCUUGGGUUGGGGUGACCGCGGAGUAAAAUAUAACCUCCACGAUGAAAGAAACUUAAUUUCUUAACCCAGAGUUACAACUCUAAGUACCAAAAAUUUGACAUUAAUUGACCCAAUUUAUUGAUCAACGAACCAAGUUACCCUAGGGAUAACAGCGCAAUCUACUUCAAGAGUCCCUAUCGACAAGUAGGUUUACGACCUCGAUGUUGGAUCAGGGUAUCCUAGUGGUGCAGCCGCUACUAAAGGUUCGUUUGUUCAACGAUUAAAACCCUACGUGAUCUGAGUUCAGACCGGA